AGGAGUGGAAGGGUGGCUCACGGCUCAAUGAGCUGAGGAAAUUCCCCCCUCGUUCCCAGGCCAGGGGUGUAAAAGCCGGGGCGAGAGCUCCGAUGAGUGGCGCAGAAACGACACAGCUCAGGGCAAGAAUGAUUCCUUUGAGGAUGACGUUGCUCUGAGAUUUGGUGAAACGGCCAUCACCCUGGAGCAAGUCCAAACACCAGCAGGGUUGCCUGGGACCGCCUGGAGGUAGGACGCAUAGACGAAUGCCACCUAAAACAGAAGGGGGAUUACUAUCCACACCU
rnacentral:RNase_P_RNA from 1 species